rnacentral:rRNA from 1 species
CUACACAUGCACUCGAGCGGAUGAUAGAGCUUGCUCUCUGAUUCAGCGGCGGACGGGUGAGUAAUGCCUAGGAAUCUGCCUGAUAGUGGGGGACAACGUUUCGAAAGGAACGCUAAUACCGCAUACGUCCUACGGGAGAAAGNGGGGGAUCUUCGGACCUCGCGCUAUCAGAUGAGCCUAGGUCGGAUUAGCUAGUUGGUGAGGUAACGGCUCACCAAGGCGACGAUCCGUAACUGGUCUGAGAGGAUGAUCAGUCACACUGGAACUGAGACACGGUCCAGACUCCUACGGGAGGCAGCAGUGGGGAAUAUUGGACAAUGGGCGAAAGCCUGAUCCAGCCAUGCCGCGUGUGUGAAGAAGGUCUUCGGAUUGUAAAGCACUUUAAGUUGGGAGGAAGGGCAUUAAGCUAAUACCUUNCUGUUUUGACGUUACCGACAGAAUAAGCACCGGCUAACUUCGUGCCAGCAGCCGCGGUAAUACGAAGGGUGCAAGCGUUAAUCGGAAUUACUGGGCGUAAAGCGCGCGUAGGUGGUUCGUUAAGUUGGAUGUGAAAGCCCCGGGCUCAACCUGGGAACUGCAUCCNAAACUGGCNAGCUAGAGUAUGGCAGAGGGUGGUGGAAUUUCCUGUGUAGCGGUGAAAUGCGUANAUAUAGGAAGGAACACCAUUGGC